rnacentral:rRNA from 1 species
UGACCGGCGGCGGCCUACACAUGCAAGUCGAGCGGAUGAAAGGAGCUUGCUCCUGGAUUCAGCGGCGGACGGGUGAGUAAUGCCUAGGAAUCUGCCUGGUAGUGGGGGACAACGUUUCGAAAGGAGCGCUAAUACCGCAUACGUCCUACGGGAGAAAGCAGGGGACCUUCGGGCCUUGCGCUAUCAGAUGAGCCUAGGUCGGAUUAGCUAGUUGGUGAGGUAAUGGCUCACCAAGGCGACGAUCCGUAACUGGUCUGAGAGGAUGAUCAGUCACACUGGAACUGAGACACGGUCCAGACUCCUACGGGAGGCAGCAGUGGGGAAUAUUGGACAAUGGGCGAAAGCCUGAUCCAGCCAUGCCGCGUGUGUGAAGAAGGUCUUCGGAUUGUAAAGCACUUUAAGUUGGGAGGAAGGGUUGUAGAUUAAUACUCUGCAAUUUGGACGUUACGGACAGAAUAGGCACCGGGCUGAGUCUGUGCCAGCAGCCGCGGUAAC